CCUACGGGGGGCAGCAGUGGGGAAUAUUGCACAAUGGGCGCAAGCCUGAUGCAGCCAUGCCGCGUGUGUGAAGAAGGCCUUCGGGUUGUAAAGCACUUUCAGCGGGGAGGAAGGCGGUGAGGUUAAUAACCUCAUCGAUUGACGUUACCCGCAGAAGAAGCAACGGCUAACUCCGUGCCAGCAGCCGCGGUAAUACGGAGGGUGCAAGCGUUAAUCGGAAUUACUGGGCGUAAAGCGCACGCAGGCGGUCUGUCAAGUCGGAUGUGAAAUCCCCGGGCUCAACCUGGGAACUGCAUUCGAAACUGGCAGGCUAGAGUCUUGUAGAGGGGGGUAGAAUUCCAGGUGUAGCGGUGAAAUGCGUAGAGAUCUGGAGGAAUACCGGUGGCGAAGGCGGCCCCCUGGACAAAGACUGACGCUCAGGUGCGAAAGCGUGGGGAGCAAACAGGAUUAGAUACCCGUGUAGUC
rnacentral:rRNA from 1 species